GGCGGCCGUAGCGCGGUGGUCCCACCUGACCCCAUGCCGAACUCAGAAGUGAAACGCCGUAGCGCCGAUGGUAGUGUGGGGUCUCCCCAUGC
rnacentral:rRNA from 1 species